rnacentral:rRNA from 1 species
AUUGAACGCUGGCGGCAGGCCUAACACAUGCAAGUCGAGCGGAUGAAGGGAGCUUGCUCCUGGAUUCAGCGGCGGACGGGUGAGUAAUGCCUAGGAAUCUGCCUGGUAGUGGGGGAUAACGUCCGGAAACGGGCGCUAAUACCGCAUACGUCCUGAGGGAGAAAGUGGGGGAUCUUCGGACCUCACGCUAUCAGAUGAGCCUAGGUCGGAUUAGUUAGUUGGUGGGGUAAAGGCCUACCAAGGCGACGAUCCGUAACUGGUCUGAGAGGAUGAUCAGUCACACUGGAACUGAGACACGGUCCAGACUCCUACGGGAGGCAGCAGUGGGGAAUAUUGGACAAUGGGCGAAAGCCUGAUCCAGCCAUGCCGCGUGUGUGAAGAAGGUCUUCGGAUUGUAAAGCACUUUAAGCUGGGAGGAAGGGCAGUAAGUUAAUACCUUGCUGUUUUGACGUUACCAACAGAAUAAGCACCGGCUAACUUCGUG